rnacentral:antisense_RNA from 1 species
UGUGGGAGCGGGCUUGCUCGCGAAAACGUUGUAUCAGUCGAUACUUUCAUUGCCUGAUCCACCGACUUCGCGAGCAAGCCCGCUCCCACA